AGCUUUGUGCAGUGGUAGUAUCGUAGCCAAUAAGGUUUAUCCGAGGCACGAUUACUGCUAAUUGAAAAGGUCUUAUUAGGC
rnacentral:snRNA from 1 species